GCUCUCCCUUUCUCUCUCUCUCCUUCUCUCUCUCUCUCGUCCGUCUGUUCUCUGCUCUCUCAUUCGCUCCGCCGGCUCGACGCCGGCUGUCAGUUCAUUUGCCGCGGCAGAGCAACAACUGGCUUCUUCAGCGCUGGGAGCGAAGAGGGGAAGGGGUGAGCGGAGGGAAGAGUGGAAGAAGAAAAAGUGGUAGAGGACGAGCAGCAAAGGAGUGGAGAAAGAGAGGAGGAGAAGAUCUUUUGUUAAACAUCCCUCUGCAGCAGCAUCAGCACCAGCGCCGCUCCCGCUGCUGGAUCCUCCGUCUCCUGCCGGGAUCUGCCUCCUCCUUCUCUUCAGGGAGCUCUUCCUGGAACUGGGAGGGGGAGGGAGACCAGCACCUCCCAGCUUGCUGCGGACCCUCGGCAAGGCAUCAGGAGGAAGGAAGGAGUGAAGGGGAGGGAAUUUUAGAGGAGGCCGUGAGGAGAGCGGAGGAGAGGCAACACCCUGGGUUACAGGAGCAGAGAAGAAGAAGAGAGGAUCUCUUUCUGCCAGGGCAGGGCCGAGUAGCAGGAACACACGUCAGCGCUGGAUGACGACUUCCAGGAGGCGGGGGCAGCGCAGCAAGGCCGCGGCCCAGAGGAGCCAUUGAUGGAUCCUUGCCUCACGCUGCAACGAGGCGUCUUCAAUCAAUGCCCCACUUUCUCUGUAUGUGUCUGUGUUGGCCACUGGAGCCUGAAGGGGGGCUGCUGAUGGCGGCGGCACUGGCCAAGGUGGCGGUGGUGGUGAUGCGAUGGCGGUGGCGCUGCUCACGUGCUUUCUGGCUUAGCUCCUGUUGUUUACUGAAAGACUCUCUUCGGUGACGGGUAUUCUUGGGUGGAUAAUACGGAUCACGUUGUUAUUGCUUAAGAAUACGCGUAGUCGAGGAGAGUCCUCUCUUCGCCCGACACCAGCAACACCCCCCCCCUCCCCCGACUCCCACCCACCCACCUCACCUCACCCCGACUCCCCCCCCCCCCACCCACGGAGGACUGUCAGGACGGGUGAAGCCACACCCCCAGUCUCCACCUCUUCUCUCAUCUCUGCAUUGCAAAGUUUUACUUCCUUGAGGUUGACCUCACGUACGUCUGUCCGUCCGUCUCUGUCUCUGUGGCGAUGGACCGCGCUGUGUUUCUGUGUGUGUGUCUGUUGGACGUGUUGCUUCGAGAUUGUUCGGGCUCACAGAGAAAACUUGUGAUCAUGUGACUCUCUGCAUGUUCCCAUAAAGCCCGGCCAGCAUGUCAGCGGGCACACGCACACUCACACACACACACACCACACACACACACACACACACACGCACACACACACACACACACACACACACACACACACACACACACACACACACACACACACACACAGCUCCACAGACUGCUACAUGUUUCCUCUGUAAACCACAGACACAGACUCCUGAAGCUCGGGGGCUCCUGAAGCUCGGGGGCCCUGAAGCUACAGGGCGGUUAGUAAUCCAGCCUCAAGUACAGGAACACUUUUUAAUCCAAGAAGAAGGAAGACAUCAGAGGUGUUUCUCUGUGAACUUUGACUUCUUCACAAUAAACUACAAUUAUUAUAUUAUUAUUUAAUUUAAUUUAAUCUCUUGAUUAUUUUUCUGAUAAUUCAGUGAAUGAUUUGUUCUAUAAAACCAUAAAAUCAUAUCUUCUGGAUUUCUCCAUGAGUGAUCAGUGUAGAAAAUGUUAUACGUCUUUAUAAGAUCUUUAUUUAAAGGAUUUUUAAAUGAUAAUUGAUUUAAAUCGUUUGCUGUGAAUCAACACAUCUCAAAAUAUAUUGUUUUACUUCUAAUCCUAAUAAAGUAAAGGGUUCAAAGUAUUUAUUUCAUUUUUAGGCCUGAGAACAAAACAGUUACAUUUUAAAAAUCAGAUAAAAGCCAUUGAGUUUAAUAUUAUUGGGUCAGUUUAGGACCUCCUGAUGAUGAGCAUUUUUUACAUUUAGUUAUGACAUAAUAUUUAACAGAGUAUUGGCAGCAGCCGUUUCAUGAGGAAUCAGCAGCCAGCCUGCGGCUGUGGGUACAGGGUGUCUCCUCCUCUGAUUCAUCUCCAUGUAGAGCAUUUAUUACGUCUGAGCCCGGAGCUCCUACCUUCCCCCCUUACGCUCCUUUUUUAUGCAAAUGCUUGCUCAAAUGACAUUUAUCGCAGUGAGGUUUACGCCACAUGCAAUACUGCUACUGCCACUGAUUCUCACACACACACACGCACACACCCACGCACACACACACGGCUAAGAAAACAAAAUGUCCACCAUGAGUGGUCAACAGCUCAACCUAUUCAUUGAAGAGAGAGGUGUCGAGAUAAACAAUGAGCAGCUUUCUCCGUGCGAUGCAUCAUGAAUAUGGAUUCCCUCUGCACGUCUGACGUCACGCUCUGAAUCUAACAGCCAUGUAAAAUCCAUUUAAACACCUAAUAGGAUCAACUUGACUCAUGCAGCCUUGUCCUCACACAUGUCACUUCAUAUGAUCACAUGCUGCAGAUAUUCUCACACCGCUGGCUGCUGUAAAUCUUUCUUACACACCUUCAUAUGGCUGCUGUGGAAUAUCAAAUGAGACAUUUUCUGCGCCUGUUGCAGAAUAUUCCCAGGCAACAUUUCAUUUCAAUGUUAGAGUCACUUAGACAUGCUCAUGAUUACACAAAUCAUUACCAUUGCAGAUUAUUCAAAUAAUACAAUUAUAUGUUUAACACUCGGCUUAGCUGGUAAUUACUGCGCCUUUCUUUAUGGAAACAAACACAGCUUCAUGCUAAAAUGUGUGUAGGAGGACGGAAAAUACAGCAUGUGCGCCCUAAAUGAAUACAACCCCCCCACACACACACUCGCUUCACCUGUGUGUCGACUGUUGCAGAUGCUGUUGGUGUUCUCUGUGUGUCUCCCGUUGCUGCAGGCCGUGGCUGCACCAUGUAUAACACUUUAUACUGCACUCAUACACUGAGAGCCUGCAUUCUAAAUACACAAAGUGUAAAACAUUAAUGAUUAAAGAUGCUUCCCUGUCUGCCAUGCUGUAAAACACACUGUUGACACAUAAAAUCUGAUGCACUGGACAUAUUCUCUGAUCCUUGAACCCGUUAUUGUACCUGCUGCUGCUGGUACCGACUCAUCCCCUCAAUAUUAUCUCAUGUGAAUAUUAUCUCAAUAUUAUCUCAUGUGAAUAAUAUCUCAUGUGGAUAUUUUCUCAUAUGAAUAAUAUCUCAUGUGGAUAUUUUCUCAUGUGAAUAAUAUCUCAUGUGUAUCUUAUCUCAUGUGAAUAAUAUCUCAUGUGGAUAUUUUCUCAUGUGAAUAAUAUCUCAUGUGUAUCUUAUCUCAUGUGAAUAAUAUCUCAUGUGAAUAUUUUCUCAUGUGAAUAAUAUCUCAUGUGUAUCUUAUCUCAUGUGAAUAAUAUCUCAUGUGAAUAUUAUCUCAUGUGAAUAUUAUCUCAUGUGAAUAUUAUCUCAUGUGAAUAAUAUCUCAUGUGAAUAAUAUCUCCUGUGGAUCUCUGCAGUCACAGCUGCUGGUUGUGCAUUAAUGUCUGCUGCUCUGUACUAACAGCAUGUUGCUGCUGCUGCUGCUGCUAACCUGCAUGAUUUCAAUCAUUUCAACAGCACUGAUGAAUGCCAUUUCCCCUGUAAGUGUUCCUUAUAUCUGUCAAUAAAAUGUGGCUGUAAAUACAAAUAAAUCCCUCUUUUCAAA